rnacentral:rRNA from 1 species
ACGACCAUAGACUGAGGAGAAUUGGGCAUCCCGUCCGCUCUGCCAUACACAAGCCUCAGAUCGGUAGAUUAGUAGUUGGGUGGGUGACCACCAGCGAAUCCCUCCUGUUGUAUGUA